AUUGAACGCUGGCGGCAGGCCUAACACAUGCAAGUCGAACGAGAGGCGGACGGGUGAGUAAUGUCUGGGAAACUGCGUGAUGGAGGGGGAUAACUGCUGGAAACGGUAGCUAAUACCGCAUACCAUCGGAUGUGCCCAGAUGGGAUUAGCUAGUAGGGGGGGUAAAGGCUCACCUAGGCGACGAUCCCUAGCUGGUCUGAGAGGAUGACCAGCCACACUGGGACUGAGACACGGUCCAGACUCCUACGGGAGGCAGCAGUGGGGAAUAUUGCACAAUGGGCGCAAGCCUGAUGCAGCCAUGCCGCGUGUAUGAAGAAGGCCUUCGGGUUGUAAAGUACUUUCAGCGGUGAGGCGUUACCCGCAGAAGAAGCACCGGCUAACUCCGUGCCAGCCGCCGCGGUAAUAC
rnacentral:rRNA from 1 species